rnacentral:lncRNA from 1 species
AAACUCUCACCCAGCACAUUUUGACUGCAGUUUCCUCAGGGAGCUCUGCCCACGGAGAUCUCAGCUGGAGAUGAGCUUUCCAGCUGCUGCCACUUGUAAAUAUGGCCCACUUGCCAAAGAUGCUGGGACAUGCUGAGAUGGACCAGAUCAAAAUGUGAAGCUGAUGAUCAGAGUCUUCACAGGGAUUUAUUUUUUGCUCUGUUAUUGCUGAAUUCUAUUUACUUUUGCAGUGCUCUUCUAUUACUUGUCUUCUCUAUUUUCCAGUUGGUUUCUUAUAUGAGGUUCAAAAUAAAUUUCUUGGAAUGUUAAGGGAGUGCCUUGCAGAGGGUGUAAUUUCACCCAUCUCUGCAGUGACAUUUCCCAUCCUUCAGGACAGCAGAGGUGAACCUCCUCUUUCAGCAGCACAAUUUAAGGCUUCAGCUGCCAUGCAGCCUCCGAGUCCUGGUGCUGUUUCCUGUGAUAGACGCCCAGUGCAUGCACCAGUGAGUCCUGCUGAGGGCUGGGCUGCUGUGUGAGGCUCCUCUGGGGGCUGAUGCUCAGAGGUGAGUGAUACCAGACUGCCCUGCUUCCUCUGAUCCCAGCUCUACCUGACACCAAAUAAAUAUUUUCCUGUGCAAAGGCGAGUAAAAAGC